GGAAGGAGGGAGGGAGGAAGGAAAAGGAAGGUAGAGAAGGAGGAAGGAAGGAAGGAAGGACAGGUGAGUUCUCUGCUACUGUGUACCAGGGCUAAGCCACCUCCCUCUGCACAGCCUGACUUCCGUAACCCUGCUCCUUGCUGGUGAAUCGUACACCUUUGCCUUGACAGUUUCCAUGGAAUCCUGAAGUUUUCAUUCCAUUUGAGUAGCCUUAAAGACUCAUCAGAUCCCUGCCUCUUCCUUUCCUUCUGUCAAAGGAAUCGAUUUCGGCAAAUGCCUUUUUAAAUUACACAAAUGUUCUCAAAAAGAUAGCUCUGGGGCGUGUCAAGGAAUGGUUUCAGUGUCAAAAUGGAACCAUGGGUCUUACUUUUGCGUUAAAUGGUGUGCGAGUCUCUAGCUUCCUCCACCACCUGUGACCAACCCAGUGUACUGGACUCCUUGUGCCUUCCACAACAGCCUUUGAUGUUCCUUCAGUAGGAACCCGGGGGACAUUUUCCAUAUCCAGGCACUUUCCUGGGCCACAGAAAGCAAAAUGAUCAAGAGCUAGCCUGGAGUGCGGGAAGGUGAGAAGACAAAAGAUCUAAUUCAGCUCAUUACAACCAUUUACAAGAUAAAAGAGAGGGGGUAGGGACAGGCCAGCCCCGUUAGUUCUGUGUGGGUUGCACUAAACUUCCUUUUGUUGGCUCAACCUGGCCUUGCACUACAGUCGGGAGAAGGAAUGAUGCCCUAUCCUCCCUUGAGUGACAUCACAAUAGGCUUCCUCUUUCUCUUGGUCAGAAGGCACCCAGGACAGACAUAGCUCUGGGCAAUGUUUUUACUUUUCCCACCAACUAUUGAUCCAGGUACUGGAGAAGUGGUCAGAGAGCUUUCCACCAAAGCACCAUUCAGCUCACAAUUCCAGGUAUGGUCCAUCAUGGCGGAAAAGUCACACGGGACCUUGGGGGAGCUGGUCACAUGGCAGCCACACUAAGGAGCAGAGAACGAAGAAUGCAUUCAGGCGUGGGAUUUCAGCAGCAAUCAAGGCUGAGACCAAGGGGCUUCUCCAUCCCCCCAGACGGUAGGAGGAGAGCCACCCAGGCGUGGGGAGCGGAGCGCCAAGUGGGGAUCAGAGGCCACACCCUGAAGCUGCCUCUCACCCUUACUCCGCCAUCCGAACAACCUGAAAAAUUAUUCAGCAUCUUCUUGUCGUGCCCUGCUGGGCCGUCAGACUGCCUUUGCCUUCUGCACAUUCCUCGGGUGUUCUGGUAACUGCUGGCAGGAACAGCAGGGCCCAUUUCCACCGACAAGUCAGGCCAAAGUAGAAAUACCUCUCAAGGGCCCUCCCUCUGGCACAGCUGGACUUUCUUUGCAGAGGGUAAUAAAGUAAGUCCCACUUCA